rnacentral:rRNA from 1 species
UACGUAGGGGGCAAGCGUUGUCCGGAAUUAUUGGGCGUAAAGAGCUCGUAGGCGGUCUGUCGCGUCUGCUGUGAAAAUCCAGGGCUCAACCCUGGACCUGCAGUGGGUACGGGCAGACUAGAGUGCGGUAGGGGAGAUCGGAAUUCCUGGUGUAGCGGUGAAAUGCGCAGAUAUCAGGAGGAACACCGGUGGCGAAGGCAGCCUCCUGGGCCAGCACUGACGCUCAUGCACGAAAGCGUGGGGAGCAAACAGG